rnacentral:misc_RNA from 1 species
AGAUAGUUAGAGAUGUUAAACCCAGCCUUGGACCCUCACCUGCAAGCUUAGUUGUUUGGCAAGCUCAGAAUCUGUCUCAGCUGUUGUGAAAUGUUUGUUCAAGUGCCUCCUUCCUAGCAAGCUCAGUUGUUUCGCCUUAUGCACUCUUGUUUUGCAAAUGUUAGUGUGUGUGCUUCUAACUGAGAGUUGUUCCAAUCUUGCAGGUUUAGUUUCUCAA